rnacentral:lncRNA from 1 species
CCCCUAAGUAACUUGCUCUACAAUUCUAUUAUACAACUCAUUUUCCUAACAAACUUUCCCUCCACAAUUCUAUUAGUAACUAUCUAUACUAUUACAAUUAUAUCCUUAUCAUACAUCUACAAGGCUAAUCAUAAAUUCAUAACGAUGACAUUGAUCGAAGAGUGUAAAAUCUGGACACUGACAUUGUAAAGAUUUAUACACAUGCACACUAUCAUUCACCUUCAUUUGGAUUACUUUUUUUGAAAAGUCAACAAUAAUUAAAUAUUGAUGGUAG